rnacentral:rRNA from 1 species
UACAGAGGGUGCAAGCGUUAAUCGGAUUUACUGGGCGUAAAGCGUGCGUAGGCGGUUCGCUAAGUCGGUUGUGAAAUCCCUGGGCUUAACCUGGGAACUGCAGUCGAUACUGGCGGACUAGAGUACGGUAGAGGGUGGCGGAACUCCGGGUGUAGCGGUGAAAUGCGUAGAUAUCCGGAAGAACACCGAUGGCGAAGGCAACCACCUGGGCCUGUACUGACGCUGAGGCGCGAAAGCGUGGGGAGCAAACGGG